UCAACAAGGGUGCUCAGACAAUGUUUGCACCCAGAGGUUGCAGUAAGUCUACAUGCCACAUCAAACCAUUUGUGGUACCUCUAAAUUUCAUGGAAGAUUCCUGUUUCAUAAAUCUGAGAAAGUCUUGGUCCGAGGGGCAAAGAGGGAACCACAUGUGCUGUCCGGGUGUAGACACACAGCAACUGAAUAUCCCUGGAUACUUUUCUGGUAAAUGAUAUACAAUAGUAGCCUCCUCCUGGAUGAAACCUCAUAAGUGUCAUCACCAUUAAUCUCAGGGGAGGCCAAAGCCACUAGGCAGCUGGUGGAUCUUGAACAAGCAGGCUGGUAUUGAGAGUUACAUCUAGAGGACUAUAAACAUUUUAGAAAGGACUCCAGUCCUGCAAACAAUGAAUGGCAAUAGAUCUUAGGACUGGAAAGGUAUGAAGAUCUCUACUAAGUGGCCGUUUGAUGAAGCCAACCACCACGUUAGUGAGACUCAUGUGGCAAGGAACGAAGGAUGGCCUCCAGCCAACAGCCAGCAAGGGACUGAAGCCUUCAUUUAAACAGCCCUUGAAGAACUGAAUCUUGCCAACAACCAUGUAAAUGAACUUGGAAAUGAUCCUGCCUCAGUUGAAACUUUGAAUGAGAAGGCAGCCCUGGAUAACACCUUAGAUGUAGCCUUGUGAGACUGUGAAGCCAAGGACUGACAUAAGCACUGCCCAGAUUCUAGAUCCAGAGAAACUGUAAGAUAAUAAACAUGUGUUGAUUUAA